rnacentral:rRNA from 1 species
AGAGUUUGAUCAUGGCUCACAACGGACGCUGGCGGCAGGCCUAACACAUGCAAGUCUAGCGCACCUUCGGGUGAGCGGCGGACGGGUUAGUAACGCGUGGGAACGUACCCUUUUCUACGGAAUAGCCUUUGGAAACGAAGAGUAAUACCGUAUACGCCCUUUGGGGGAAAGAUUUAUCGGGGAAGGAUCGGCCCGCGUUAGAUUAGAUAGUUGGUGGGGUUACGGCCUUCCAAGUCUACCAUCUAUAGCUGGUUUUAGAGGAUGAUCAGCAACACUGGGACUGAGACGCGGCCCAAAC